AGCUUUGCGCAGUGGCAGUAUUGUAGCCAAUGAGGUUUAUCCAAGGCGCGAUUAUUGCUAAUUGAAAGAACAAAACACCCCAGCGGCUAGGAUUUUGAUAGGAAUUGUAUUGAAUCUGUAAAUCUGUUUGAGAGUA